rnacentral:rRNA from 1 species
UCGACGGCAGCACGGGAGCAAUCCUGGUGGCGAGUGGCGAACGGGUGAGUAAUGUAUCGGAACGUACCUUUCAGUGGGGGAUAACGUAGCGAAAGUUACGCUAAUACCGCAUAUUCUGUGAGCAGGAAAGCAGGGGAUCGCAAGACCUUGCGCUGAUUGAGCGGCCGAUAUCAGAUUAGCUAGUUGGUGAGGUAAAGGCUCACCAAGGCGACGAUCUGUAGCGGGUCUGAGAGGAUGAUCCGCCACACUGGAACUGAGACACGGUCCAGACUCCUACGGGAGGCAGCAGUGGGGAAUUUUGGACAAUGGGGGCAACCCUGAUCCAGCCAUGCCGCGUGAGUGAAGAAGGCCUUCGGGUUGUAAAGCUCUUUUGUCAGGGAAGAAACGGUGGGGGCUAAUAUCCCCCGCUAAUGACGGUACCUGAAGAAUAAGCACCGGCUAACUACGUGCCAGCAGCCGCGGUAAUACGUAGGGUGCAAGCGUUAAUCGGAAUUACUGGGCGUAAAGCGUGCGCAGGCGGUUUUGUAAGUCUGUCGUGAAAUCCCCGGGCUCAACCUGGGAAUUGCGAUGGAGACUGCAAGGCUAGAGUUUGGCAGAGGGGGGUAGAAUUCCACGUGUAGCAGUGAAAUGCGUAGAUAUGUGGAGGAACACCGAUGGCGAAGGCAGCCCCCUGGGUCAAAACUGACGCUCAUGCACGAAAGCGUGGGGAGCAAACAGGAUUAGAUACCCUGGUAGUCCACGCCCUAAACGAUGUCUACUAGUUGUCGGGUCUUAAUUGACUUGGUAACGCAGCUAACGCGUG